UAAUGAAAAUAUACAGAAGGGAAAUAAAGAGAGUCGGUCUAGACUCGUUUUCUCCUUUCUCUCUCAUCACCCUAUCUAGGGUUUUCUUCCUCUCUUUCUGUCAUUGUUGAUAAAAUCUUCAGUCUAACAUGGUAUCAAAGCAGGAAAUAUGAUUCCUCUCGUCAUGAGCUUCAGUCCGAUGUUACACUCGCCCAAAGCUUUGGAUAUUUUCGCCUAUGUCUCUAGUUGAUCGAAGACAACUGUUAUUCGACGAUUUUGACCAUCAAAUUUGGGGCUUUCUUCAACUUUCUCACCCGACUAGGAGUUUGGUUUUCCGAGCUUUUCAUCACAAAUUUAUGAGGAUUCGACCUUCUAGGAUUUCACAUUCAGAAAAGACUUUUCUUCUUCGAGUUUGAGAAGAAGGCUGUGCCAAUCAAUUAGCUGAUAUUAUGACUAAGGCUCUAUGUGGACAACUUCAUCAUAACAUUCUUGGCAAGCUUGGUGUGUUUUCACCCUCUAGCUUGAGGGGGGAGGGGGAGGGUUGGUGUUAACCCAGAUAUGGGAUCACCUAAAGGAAAGGGACCAGCCCAGUAGACCAGGAAAACCCGACGCGGUUGUAAUUUUAUUUUUCUUCUUACCAUUCUUUUAUUUGGUGUAAAUAUAUAUAUUCAGAUUUAAUGAAAAUAUACAGAAGGGAAAUAAAGAGAGUCGGUCUAGACUCGUUUUCUCCUUUCUCUCUCAUCACCCUAUCUAGGGUUUUCUUCCUCUCUUUCUGCCAUUGUUGAUAAAAUCUUCAGUCUAACACUUUCUUUUGUAUGUAUAAAAUAGAAGACAUGCUCUGCGCUGUUGAUGGUUCUCAAGCAUGUCAUAUUCCAAGCUUCAAAGGAUUUAUAUUAUCACUAUGAAAUCAUCAAUCUUUAUUUAAUUUACUUUUGAUAAAUAUCGACGUAGAAGGAUAUUUAGAAACUUGUGACAAUAUAGAACCUUGUGCACUCUUAUCAAGUUUGGUGGCUUAUAAUUUCAUUACUAUCUUGGAAUCAUUCUAAAGACAGGCAUCUGGUUUUGGUCUUUCUAUAAAGUAUCGUAUUGUCUAAUACCACUUGAGGUUAUUAACUAGCUUGUGUUCUUUUCUUGGUUUACCAUUCCUAGCUUGUUCUUUGGAAGCAUGGAACUAUACACAUAGUUGACAUAUGUUGAAGUUUCCAUUGGAACAAUAGAUUGCAGUAAAGUCGGGGCUUUUAGUGUCUCACUCAGCAAUUAAAAGCUCAUAUGGAUUGCUUCAUUCAAGUUUCCCGUGUGCUUUACUCCCACUCUAUUGAAGUAUCUUUCAGUUACAGGUUACCACAAAAACCUUAGGCACAGUUUCCAUGUUGUGUUUUAUCCGCCUAAACUUACAAUCUCAUCUUUGAGUCUAAAUUGGAAUUUCUCUUUUUAUAUGUUUCCAUUUACACAAACUGAAUUCUGUGUUGGUGGGUAAUAAUUAUCAAGAAAAAUUCCCUGCUAUUCACAGCUGGCUUCUAAAGCUAUUGUCAGUGUAGAAAAAUAAACGUCCAACCACACAUAGUUCCUGAUACAGGUUGCCAUUGAUUUGAUGUAUGUCCACAAAAAAAUUAAAAAGUAAGUAAAAGGAUAUACAAAUGACUAACAUGUAUUUCCCAAAACAGAAAUAGAAUUAUGAUCGUUAAUCUUUAUUAAGCUUUUUGUUUCUUAUAGGUAUUGAUGUAGUAGACACUUGUAACAAUACUGUACCUUUUCCACUCUUAUCGAGUUUGGUGGCUUAUGAUUUGAAUAAUAUUAAUCCUUCAAUCAUUAGAAGGGUAAGAGUUCUAGAUUUUUAGUCAGAGUAUCCUAUUCUCUAACACCACUUAAGGUAAUUUGUAAUAUAUUCCAGCAUAGGCUGGACUUUUAAUAUCUUGUCAGCAAUUAAAAGCCUCAUAAGAGUAGUCCAUGAACAGGGAUAAAUGGGGGUGUCCACAUAUCUCUGUCUUUGCUUUGUUCUUCUUGUCAAUUGAGUGCUCCUCUGAGGUAACAUGGAAUCUCAACAUCCAUUCUAGGUAAGGUGUUAUCUCCAUUUUUGUUUUUUAAAUUUCUUUUGUUUGAUGAUUCUUUCUAAGAACUUGUUUAACUGUUAGUGGUAUAUGCUUAUAUUUACAAAGUGAAAUCAUAAUGUUACCACCUUGUGCCUAUAAAACUGAAAUUUCCUUUUGCCAGUAAAAUAAAUGUGCUAGGAACAUGAUAUUUCAUAGGCUUGAACUCUCCAGCAGCAAUAUUUUCUCUUUGCUAACCUACUAAUGAGAUCAGGAAUACCUCUUCAAAUUUGACAACUAAAGACCUUAUCUAAAAUUUGAAGCUUAGAGUGGAGUAUUUGGAACUACAGAUAUUUUUUAUAACCUUUUUGGAAAUACAGAUAUGUAGUACUCCUACAAUGAAGCACUAGGACGCAGUAUUAUCAAAGACAAAAAACACAAGCUCUAAGAUCCAUUGGGGCGUUAAGCAUAAAUAAAGCGUGACCUUUACUAAAGAAAGGGGCAAAUGAAAAAAAAAUACAUAUAUGUAUAUAAGCACGAAUAACGGUUGGCUUAAGUGAAGUUUGUUUUGAUGAUUGACAAAGGAGCUCAAGCAUGAACCAGGUCCAUACACAGUGUACACGGACACAGACAGAUUCGAGCACAAGGCAUGCAUGUAGAUAAGAAUAAAUGGUUAUACUGAAUGUCUCCUGAACGAAAAUGUUGCAUAUUUGACAAGGAGCAGGACUCCUUAAGGGAAGAGAACUCUAUCCAAGAUAAGGAAGGAGUUAGAAGUUGAAGAUAACUAGAACUCUUCCACCAAGGAAGAGUAUAGCAUUAGAACUCUAGUUAUUUCCUAUUCUACUAGCUCUAUAUAUUUCAGGAAGUUCUCUUCUACAGGCAACGCACAAACGCAGAAGUUAAGCAAGAGUUGAGAGCAAAAUAGCAAGGCAUUUCGCAAGCAAUUCUUAUGUGAUUCAAGUGUGCGAACAUAAAGCUACAUGAACCAGAUAGAAGAACCAGCUCCAUUUGUAUGUCUUUUAUUCUAGUUCAAUUAUAGUAGGACUAUUGAGUUGUAACUUUUCUGCUUUAUCUAGAAGCAUUUGUACUAGGUACUCUGAGUGUUGUAAUCAAGUUAAAGUUAACUUGAAAUUGUCGCAACUACUUGGGGUUGGUUGCCACAAAGGGUUAGAGUUAAUCCUUAGGUUUACAAGAGUUUUGUAAACGGUGUUUUGGCUCAGUGAUUUUGUGAAGUGUUUGGAGAAAAUCCUACUGGGUAGUAGGUCGUAGUUUUUUCACCUUUUGAGUCUGGUAUUUUUCCACAUAAAAUUCUUGUGUUAUUUACUUUCUA